UAAAUGACAUGUGAGAGGAAAAGACACUGGGUUUCAACAAACUGGUUAAAGAGAAGAGUUCCUGCAGAAAUUCAAGCAACAAGCUGUAACACAGACACAAUGAUCACACAAAGAAAAAGAAAAUGUACAAGAAUGCCGUGUAGCAGCAUAUAAUUAUGCGGCUGGGCGUGGCCAGGAGCCAAUUAUGAUGGGGUCGUGGAUAAAAGAGCGGCCCCUCCUACGCCUCCUCCCUCUGUCUCCCGCUGGCGUAAUUUCCGGGACAUCCUGUGUGGCUGCAACAGGUAACUCCGGGGGCCGCGUACGUUUUUGCCAGUUUUGUAUUUGCGGGAGCCUUAACUAUUUCUUGUGCUGUGACAAGGGGGCUGUGGGUGGAUUCUGGCUCCAUGUGGUCUCCUUGUCUGGUAAAUGCUGGUAGCGGCUCGCUGCUCUUGCCUCGUCUCACUGGUUGCAUGAACAGGUGCUGUACCAUAAGGUAUGUAGUUCAUUCUUUCUGAGUCUAACCUGUCCUGUGGGGGGAGCGAUCGGGUAUUUAAUUUCCUUUUUGUUUAAGUAGGAUCAAGUCCAUCACCUCCAUUGGCUCCCUUCCGUCUGCAUGACCUCUGCUGCUUUGUCCUGCUUCAAGUUCCUGUCCGUCCGUGCAGCUGUUUCCCGGCUCGGGUUUGGCUGGCUCCGGCGUGCUGCGGUGCUUUGCUGCCGUCCGUCCUAUUGCGCUGGUCGCCCACCUGUGGUUGGGUCGUUCGCCUUCGCCGCGGCUCGUAGCAGCCCGUUCUCGGCUGCCAGCGUCCGCUCUUUUUUUAGUGAGGGUUUCGUGACCCCUUUUAUCUGGUUCACACUUUCGGAUUUCGUUUUUCAUUCAAUUCCGAUUGUGUUCAAUUGAUGCUGGCGAUUUGAUUUGUAUUAGCAGUUUUAUCAUUUCAUCUGGUGAUAUUUUAACUUUGUAUAUUUGCUGAUUAUAUUCGUUGCUUUUCUUUUUGUUUCAGGGGCUGACGGCCUGUAGUGGUGUGGGUGAUCGUAGGAGACCCUCCUGUCUGCUGUGCCGUUUCCAGGGAUGUGGGUCGUUCACGGGUGUGCUCUUUUCACGUGUGUCUGGGGGAACUUUUACUUUGGGGACCCCUCCUUUCGCUUGCCCUAGCUACUUUUAGGCCGAAGCCCUUGAUUAACUUUUGUUUUUGCAUUUUCUUUUGUUUGGAUCCUUUGUAUUAAUAAAAUAUUAUUGUGACUAA